UGAGGAAUAUUGGUCAAUGGGCGGGAGCCUGAACCAGCCAAGCCGCGUGAGGGAAGAAGGCCCUAUGGGUCGUAAACCUCUUUUGUCAGGGAACAAAAGCGAGUAUGUAUACUAGUCUGAGUGUACCUGAAGAAAAAGCAUCGGCUAACUCCGUGCCAGCAGCCGCGGUAAUACGGAGGAUGCGAGCGUUAUCCGGAUUUAUUGGGUUUAAAGGGUGCGUAGGCGGCGAUGCAAGUCAGCGGUAAAAGCCCGGGGCUCAACCCCGGCGAGCCGUUGAAACUGCAGUACUAGAGAAGGCGAGAGGUACGCGGAAUGCGCAGUGUAGCGGUGAAAUGCUUAGAUAUUGCGCAGAACUCCGAUUGCGAAGGCAGCGUACUGGCGCCUGACUGACGCUGAGGCACGAAAGCGUGGGGAUCGAACAGGAUUAGAUACCC
rnacentral:rRNA from 1 species